UGAGGAAUAUUGCACAAUGGGCGAAAGCCUGAUGCAGCGACGCCGCGUGGGUGAAGAAGGUUUUCGGAUCGUAAAACCCUUUUCUGUGUGACGAGAACGGACGGUAGCACAGGAAUAAGUCUCGGCUAACUACGUGCCAGCAGCCGCGGUAAAACGUAGGAGACAAACGUUAUCCGGAGUUACUGGGCGUAAAGGGCGUGCAGGCGGCAGUCUAAGUCUGGCGUGAAAUAUCCCGGCUCAACCGGGGAAGGUCGUCGGAUACUGGGCAGCUAGAGGACGGUAGAGGCGUGUGGAAUUCCGGGUGUAGUGGUGAAAUGCGUAGAUAUUCGGAAGAACACCAGUGGCGAAGGCGACAUACUGGCUCAUUACUGACGCUGAGGCGCGAAAGCGUGGGGAGCAAACAGGAUUAGAUACCCCCGUAGUCCCUGAGCGGGCUGGCAAGGCGCAU
rnacentral:rRNA from 1 species